GGAUUGUAGUUCAGUGGUAGAGCCCUUGCCCCUCACGCAUGAAGCACUGGGUUCCAUCCUCAGCACCA
rnacentral:tRNA from 1 species